CCGCCGCCCGCGGGUCGCCCACUCCCCGCACCCCUGUUGCUCCCUCCUCGUACCCGAUCUGGAUCGAGGGGACGAGGAGCUCCUGCCUCCCCGACGGCCGGCCUCCUCCUCGCCCCGCUGCUGCGUCCGGCGCCGCCACGGCCUCUGCAGCCAGGGAUGCCAUGGCCUGAGCUCGGCCUCGAGGUUCCCGCCGCCGUCUCCUGCAGCUUCCGCCUCACCGCCCGAGCUCGCGGUCGCACCAACCUCGGCACCACGUCGCCGCCGGCUCUGGUCGCCUCCACCUUCGCUCCAGGCAACCCUCGGUCGCCGGCUCGCUGGAGCACGACGGCAGACGAUGGAUGCCCUGGUUGUGUGCGACGGAUGCAGUUCUCACGCGCAAGCUAGGGUUGGAGCCGCCGGCUCUUCAUCCUGCCCGCCGGCGGUGAGUCUUCCGGUCCUGCACUGCCGCCUCCCCGUUAUCACAGGUUCAUCGGGUCCUUUACUCCUCACAUAAUAACCGUGAAACUUAAUGAGGAAGGUUAUCCUUUCUUCAAGGACUGGAAGUUUCCUGGUAAGUGUUCCUUUUUCUGAAAAACUCUGUGUUUGUUCGCUGUAAUAUUUUGUUUGCAUCAGGUUUCUCUUUCCUUUUGUGGGCAUAAUGGGCGAGACAAUAAUAUUCAGAAAGUUGUUGUUUUAGGGAAACUGCUAACUCCAUAUGUCAGACCCAUAUCAUUGUUGAGCAUGCAUAGUGUUCCUAUGUCAUUUCUAUGAUGUAUUUGUUUCCUUUUAUAUCACAGUAGUCUUCAUUUUGGCCAUGUACCUUCAAACUGAACCAAAAAUGGUUUGUCUGGUGACAUGUUUGAGGAGAUUCUUGAUAUGAAACAGUAGAUAUGAGAGUGACCUUUUUUUGCAAGUUUUGUCUGUGGAAUCUUUUUGCAGUUGAUAAGACAUGGGCUGGUCUUACUUCUGAUCUGCAAUAUUUUCGGUAAAGUGAUUCAAGGUAUGUUUGAUUGUUUACUUAGGAUGGUUACUGAACCUCUUUGGGAACCAAGAAAUACAUUUUGUAUGUACAAAUAACAUAGGCCUAAAGUUCGUUUUUACAUUGAAAAUCUAUAUAUGAAAUUUUCUGUAACAAUCGAAAAUUCAUACACUCACUUUGUGAGAUGUCACACAACACCAUGCUCCAAAUUGUUGUCUAUCUGAUCCUUGCGGCAGAAUCAUAUACUCGUGCAUAAUUGCAUAUAUACUGUGACCGGGCACCAGUACAUUUGCAACAUUCUAAAGUUAGUUUUUUGUGAUUUUUUACCAAAACUUUUCUUCUACAAUUUAUAUGCAUGCAGAGGAUCUUCAACUGAUUUCAUCAUUUAUCUAGGCUAUGCGAGGUUGCAUAAUCAUGAAUGGUCAUUGUUCGGUAAUCCAAGCAAUACCCAGUUUAAUGCCUACCACUCACAAGACACACCGACAGAUCAAAUAAAUCUUCAAUGCACUGCCACUCACAAGAGCAAAUCAAUGUGUACAACCAAGAUGCCAAUGAAGGGAGAAUUGAGUUCAAAAUGAGAGACUACCACUCACUUAUAUUCUGCUGAAUUUGUUCCAUCUAUAGGAUUGUACAUGGAUAUUAUCUAUAAGGCUUAUGUCAUGUACAGGGAGAUUAUCUUAUGGGAUAGGCAUAUCAGCUACCGUUCAGACAUAGCAGUGAUGAUUUUUGCAGAACCACAUGCCGAUGGUGCACUUGCCUUUGGAAUUAAAGAUCAGCUUACUACACUAACCAGAGAUCAUAUAUAAAUACUCGACUCUACAGCAGUAUGAAGGGGUGAGCUAAUUAUGUUGUCACUGUGUUUCACACUUUUCUGUCAUAGUUUGCGUCUAAUUUCCCUACAGAUUUCAGGGCUAGUAAAUAUGUUAAAGAUAGAUACAGAGAAAGGAGAUUAGGGUAGUGGAUUCCGAUAAUGAUGCGAAAAAAUGCCUUUGGGUCGAACACAUACUCUUGAAAGAAAGGAAGAAGCUUCUUGGUAAUGGAGAUGGUUCUCUUAUAUUUGGUAGGGAGCAGAAAAAAUCCAGCAUGGAAAAACACCACAUUCAACAUGGUGUAAUUAUGAUGAUCUAAACGAGUAUUCCUGGUCUGUCUACAACCUUAUUUUAUGGUCACAUACUAACACACCUUUUCAAAUUUUCUCUAAUAGAUCCUACUCUGUUUUAGGACUAAUGAUUGUUUCUCACUGCCAUGACCAAUGCGGGAUGAUGGUGGCUUCUUCAAAUAUG